rnacentral:rRNA from 1 species
AUUGAACGCUGGCGGCAUGCUUUACACAUGCAAGUCGAACGGUAACAGGGUGCUUGCACCGCUGACGAGUGGCGAGCGGGUGAGUAAUGCGUCGGAACGUGCCGAGUAGUGGGGGAUAACGCAGCGAAAGUUGUGCUAAUACCGCAUACGUACUGAGGUAGAAAGUGGGGGACCUUCGGGCCUCACGCUAUUCGAGCGGCCGACGUCUGAUUAGCUAGUAGGUGAGGUAAAGGCUCACCUAGGCGACGAUCAGUAGCGGGUCUGAGAGGAUGAUCCGCCACACUGGGACUGAGACAAGGCCCAGACUCCUACGGGGGGCAGCAGUGGGGAAUUUUGGACAAUGGGCGAAAGCCUGAUUCAGCCAUGCCGCGUGUCUGAAGAAGGCCUUCGGGUUGUAAAGGACUUUUGUCGGGGAGGAAAUCCCCAGCGUUAAUACCGCUGGGGGAUGACAGUACCUGAAGAAUAAGCACCGGCUAACUACGUGCCAGCCGCCGCCGUAA